rnacentral:rRNA from 1 species
GACGAGGUGCACAAACGUUAUUCGGAAUUACUGGGCUUAAAGCGUGCGUAGGCGGCCUAGCAAGUCGGGUGUGAAAGCCCUCGGCUCAACCGAGGAAUUGCGCCCGAAACUGCUGGGCUUGAGUGAGACAGAGGUGAGCGGAACUGAUGGUGGAGCGGUGAAAUGCGUUGAUAUCAUCAGGAACACCGGUGGCGAAGGCGACUUCCUGGCCUGUUCUUGACGCUGAGGCGCGAAAGCUAGGGUAGCAAACGGG